rnacentral:misc_RNA from 1 species
GCCUUGUAGUAUGCGAAUUAAAAGCCUGAUAUUUAAGUGGAAACGGUAAAAAGGAUGAAUCCAUUAUUUCCAAGUUUGGAAGGAUACAAUUGGUCUUAAGGGUUGCCACCCACAUCCAAAAGAAAAGGCAGUCCACUAGCCUCCACCAUAAUUAAGGCCUGAUACAUGAUCUUGGUGAAAGAUGAUAAAUAUCCCGUAAAAUUAGUCGAAGUACACAUAAAUUAACUCGAUCACUGAGUGGUGUUGGAUAACAUCAAAUAGAGAGAAAAAGAUGGAAUUUGCUUCUUUUUUUCUCUCUCUAUUUGUAAGAUCUGAUCUGAUCUGAACAGGAAACCUGAUUCCACCAAUCAUCUUCUUCUUCAGAAAUUAGGCCAAUUAGAUUCUUCCACUAAAUACAUUAACAAAACCCUAUCCUUUUCUUCUUUCGAUUCCGUUCACACCUUUGCCGUUUUCUCCUCUCUUA